rnacentral:rRNA from 1 species
AACGAACGCUGGCGGCAGGCCUAACACAUGCAAGUCGAGCGAGAUCUUCGGGUCUAGCGGCGGACGGGUGAGUAACGCGUGGGAAUAUGCCUCUUGGUGCGGAAUAGCCUCGGGAAACUGGGAGUAAUACCGUAUGUGCCCUUUGGGGGAAAGAUUUAUCGCCAAGAGAUUAGCCCGCGUUGGAUUAGGUAGUUGGUGGGGUAAUGGCCUACCAAGCCGACGAUCCAUAGCUGGUUUGAGAGGAUGAUCAGCCACACUGGGACUGAGACACGGCCCAGACUCCUACGGGAGGCAGCAGUGGGGAAUCUUAGACAAUGGGGGCAACCCUGAUCUAGCCAUGCCGCGUGAGUGAUGAAGGCCUUAGGGUUGUAAAGCUCUUUCAGCUGGGAAGAUAAUGACGGUACCAGCAGAAGAAGCCCCGGCUAACUCCGUG